CGUCGUCCAAUGAUGACCGGCUCUCUCUCUUCCCUUCAGGAACUACGAGGGGACGAUCGAAAAAUGGGAAGCGGGAAUCGCCGAAUUUGGCACACGAAAUGCAGCGCGAAACUCGCCCACUCACCAAUCACGAAUCACUGUCCGUACAUCCAUCGGGACUGCAGCUGUAGAAAUGAAUUGAAUACCCCACUCCCUUUUCCAGCCGCUCUCUCACUCUCAACUGCUCGCGCCAUUUCUGAAUCCCUAAACUAAACCCUUUCUUCUUCUUCUUCUUCUACCUCUACGCUCGGAGCCUCCACUGGUCCGAUCCUCUUCUCGCUGCAUUUCAACUCGCCAUUCACCACUUCCUAUUGAUGACUUUUUGAGCUCAAACAUGGUGGUGAAGUCGCGGGUGCUACGCUCUGCCGCUAAUGGAGAGCUGCAUUCUCCGGUUGAUACUGAGGAGAAGCCGAAGCGUAGUAGAGUACCCACGCAUGGGCGGAAGAAUGCUAAAGUUGCAGCACCGAAGGGAGAUUCAGUGGAGCCGUCUCCCCCGAGGAGGACGAGUGCUCGAAUCCAGAUUAAGCUGUUGGCAGAGAAGGAGCAACUAGUGCGUCAGAGAGUAGAGCUCCUUGACAAGCCCGACAGCGCGAGCAAAAGGAAGAAGACGAAUGACCAGGUGAGAAGUCGGCGUAAUGCUGUGAGUGAUGGGGGCAAGACGGCGGAAGAUAAUGACAAUGACAAUGUUGUUUCGGUAUCCAAAGAUGUGACUAAACAUAAAGACGACAACGCGAGUGAGCCGAGGGAAAUGUGUUCACCGGAAAAGAGUAAAGCCCUUGUUGAUGGCGCUCCGGCUAGUUUGGUUGAGAAGAGUGACCAUGUCAAGGUGAAGGAGACUCUCAGGUUGUUCAACAAGCACUAUCUUCAUUUCGUACAGGAGGAGGAAAAGAGGUGCAAGAAAGCCGAAGUAGCUGAAAAAGCUUCCAAAGGGUCAAAAUCUAAGAAGGUGGCUCCAGUAGAAGACGCAAAGAACAAAUCUAAGCGACCAGAUUUGAAGGCAAUUUCUAAGAUGUUGGAGGCGAAUGAAAUUUUGAACCAUGAGAAAAGAAUUGGCAACAUUCCAGGUGUCAAUAUUGGGCAUCGGUUCUAUUCAAGGGCUGAAAUGGUAGCUGUUGGGUUUCAUAGCCACUGGCUGAAUGGAAUUGAUUACAUGGGGAUGUCAUACAGCAAAAUGUAUAGUAAUUACUCCUUCCCACUUGCUGUGGCCAUUGUUUUGUCGGGCAUGUAUGAGGAUGACUUGGACAAUGCUGAGGAUGUUGUUUACACUGGUCAAGGUGGACAAAAUUUAACUGGAAAUAAACGUCAAAUCCGGGAUCAAAAAAUGGAACGUGGUAAUUUGGCUCUCAAGAAUUGUAUUGAGCAAGCUGUUCCAGUUAGAGUGGUCCGAGGGCAUGAAUGUGCAAGUAGUUACUGUGGGAAACUUUACACAUAUGAUGGUUUGUAUAAGGUUAUACAAUAUUGGGCAGAGAAGGGUAUUUCUGGAUUUACUGUGUUUAAAUUUCGUCUUAGGCGGAUUGAAGGACAGUCACUGUUGACUACAAACCAGGUUCAAUUUAUUUAUGGUCGAGUUCCCAAGUCAGUUUCAGAAAUACGUGGAUUGGUGUGCGAGGAUAUUACUGGUGGCCAGGAGAAUGUUCCAAUUCCAGCUACUAAUUUGGUGGACGACCCACCUGUGGCACCUACAGGUUUCACUUAUUGCAAAUCUAUUAAAGUUGCACACGGUGUGAAGCUUCCUUCAAAUGCUAAUGGAUGUGACUGUAGUGGAUCAUGCAUAGCUUCAAGGACGUGUUCAUGUGCUAAGCUUAAUGGAUUGGAUUUCCCGUAUGUGCAUCGUGAUGGUGGAAGACUUAUAGAAGCCAAGGAUGUAGUUUAUGAAUGCGGUCCCAAUUGUGGUUGUGGUCCCGGUUGUGUGAACCGAACUUCUCAGAGGGGGAUAAAAUAUCGACUUGAGGUUUUUCGAACACCGAAGAAAGGGUGGGCUGUAAGGUCAUGGGAUUUUAUACCUUCUGGUGCACCUGUUUGUGAAUACAUAGGAAUACUUACAAGGACAGAGGAUCUUGAUCACGUGUCUGAGAAUAAUUAUAUUUUCGACAUUGAUUGCUUGCAAACAAUUAGGGGCAUUGGUGGACGAGAGAGGCGCUCAAAAGAUGCAUCUUUACCAGCAAACAAUUCGUUGGAUGGAAUUGAUGAUCAAAGAUCUGAAAGUGUGCCAGAGUUCUGUAUUGAUGCUUGUUUCACUGGAAAUAUUGCAAGGUUUAUCAAUCAUAGUUGUGAACCUAAUCUUUUUGUACAAUGUGUAUUGAGCUCACACCACGACAUCAAACUUGCUCGAGUGGUACUAUUUGCUGCAGAAAAUAUACCACCCCUCCAGGAACUGACAUAUGACUAUGGCUAUGCACUUGAUAGUGUGUAUGGUCCAGAUGGGAAGUUAAAACAGAUGCCCUGCUUCUGUGGUGCCACUGAGUGUAGGAAACGCUUGUUUUAGUCUAGGGAAGCCUUCAGAUAUGCUGGUACAUUCUGGUAGUGUCUCUAUCUUCUGUUUUUUGCCUCAGAAAUCAGUCUUUUCGGUUUCAUCUCCCUCAAUACCGCCAUCAAACUCACCUUGUUCGUAUUUGUUCUCCCGUUUCUAGGUGGACUGAAAUGAUACUGGUACCAAAAUGCUACCCAAUUUCAACACUUAAAAUAGAGAGAAUGGGAAGAUGGUGUUUUUUAUUCUCUAAGAAGUAUUGCGGCUACAAGGGGAAAAAAAUAGAAGAUUAACAUAGAGAUGGAACUGCGAAUCGAAGGGCCAGUCAAAAAGACAGCUACUUUGUCCUGUAAAUGACAGGCGCAAAAAAAAAAAUAUAAGGUUCUGAAAUAUAAUCUAAUCUUUAAAUUUGAUUUGACAGUUUAAAAGUUAAAAGAUGAAAUGACAUUUUGUUAAAUCUGUGACCAAUUUAAAUUAAACAAAAAAAAAGGAUGGAUUAGAAAACAGGAGAAAUUACACCUAAGAAAUCAAAUAUGCACGAUUUUGUCAUGACAAUACAACACGUAGAUGUGAGAUUUUAACUCA